UGUUAGGGUUUGUUUGAGCUGCUGCAAUGAGGAGGCCGAAGGAGGGAAAAAAAAAAGGAAGAAUGCUGCGGCGGUGGAGGAGGAAGAGCAAGGAACCAGACGCCGCCGCCUCUACCAAACGAGCGAAGGCGGCGGCCGCCGGAGGAAGUGGAAGGAGCCGACCUUAAGUUGGGGAAGGGAGAAAAUUUUUAGCGAGAGAAAGCCACAAAUUAUAUUGUUAUCAGUAAUUAUAGAUUAGUUUUUAAAAGUUCAAAUUGUAUCAUUUUAAUGAGUUAAAACAGUUAAUUAGGGUUUUGUUGGGGGUAUUAUUAUAAAAAUGUAGAAAAUGAAAACAGAUAUGAGAAUACAAGGACAGUCUCCAUGUCCAGAGAGCUGAUACGCAGAGAUUUUUUCUAAGCAAGCUUAAGGCAAAUAGCAUGAAAACGGAAGGUACUAUUUUCGCAGUGCAGGAGCUAUAUGUGUCCUAUUUCUAAUUUAUGGCAGCCAUUGAUGAGUUUCAAACCAAACUUGACCUCCACCCAUUAUCUCCCAAAAGCUUGUUGAACAGGAGGUUGAACAAGUGUUGUUAACCAGCCAAAAGGGCACAUGGGAAGUUGAAACCCAUAGAUCUGGAGGAAAGCUCUACUUCACAAAGGGGUGGGAUGAAUUUGUCCUGCAACAUGCCCUACAUAAUGAAGAUCUUUUACUGUUUGAACACUGGCGGCUCGAGUUCUAAUGCCUCCGAGCGAAGCAGUCAGAGGUUGCUUUUCCGGUGGCGAUGAAAUUUCCAAGGGCGGACAAAUGUAGAAUGCUACUGCUUCCUUGAGAAACAGGAUCUUUGAAAGUCUGAAACACAUAACCGCGAUUGCUGAGGCCAAAAGCACAAAACACAGUACCCAUAACAAAGCAUAAACUACUUUUCCUCCAGCCUCUACUUUACCUUCACCCUUCUUCCUCAUCCUCUCUAUUUCUAAACAAACAUAUACAUCUCCUGAGUCCAAAUUUCCAACGCGAGCGAAGCAGUCGAAGGCUGCAGAGAAGCUGCAUUUUUUGCGGCGAUGAAAAAAACUUUCCCUUUUUAUAUUUUAACCUGGAUUGACCGAAUUACCCCUCUUAUUAAACAAAUUAAAAUGAAUUACAAGUUUCCGGCGAAAAUUGGCCAGCAAUUUGGCCGGAUGGACCAAAUCUGUUAAAAAUUACAUAGUUAGGGUUCUAAAUUGUUAAUUUUUAAAGUCGUGGAUUGAAUUUAACAAGACCCUAAUAGUUAUAGGACUAAAAGUGUA